rnacentral:lncRNA from 1 species
GCUUCUUCAGAGUUGAGUAAGAUUAAAAAAGCCCGACAUCUCCAAUAUUCCUCAGCAACGGUUUAUGUACCUGCAUAGACAGAUGAAAAAAGGGCUUGAGGAUGUAUUUAAAAACAUGCAUGUAUAUGAUGGAUGGUUAGAGAGAGAGCAUGCAAGAAUAUGAUACAGAUUAAUGGCUCUCUGUAUUUUUGGAGUCUUUUUGUUUCAGGCCCAUAGUUCUGGUGCAUUGGAAGGGUUCUGGAAUUUUAGAACACAAAGUAGCAGUUUUAAAUAAUGAGAGAAGAUUCCACAUGGAACGCUCAUCUGGCUGUGGCAGCCUGUGACUGAAUGAGAGAAAAGUGCCCUAGAAGCUAUUCAUUACGAAUUCACUGGAAGCUCUCAAACGAGGCUGGCAGAAGCUGAAAUUGAAGUGGUCUCUGACCUAAUUUUCUUCUGCAUGAAACAUCUGCAUCAAGGCUCUCUUUGAUGUAUUCCACUUGGCUCUGUCUAUAGGAUUGUAUCACAUGGACUCGGUGUUGCCUCCUUAUUGAAAGACAUUUCCAGCCUUUGCAAGUGCUUUCUAAUCAAAGCAAUCAGAUAUGAAGCAUUUGGGGGCAGUAGACUCUCUGAGGUCAGUGGUGAUCCAGUUCUCCAACAAGAAGAAAAUAUGGGUGCACAUUGACCUACUUGUUAUGAACCUUCACAGAAGACCCAGGGAAGGCGUUAGAGUUGGGGCCACAAGAGGCCUGAUGGGGCUUACUGGCUUCUCAGGGUUCAUCUCCACAUAAAGUGAAACACCCCGUACCUGCUUUGCUGGAUGGCUGUUAUGAGGAUUUAAGCCUUUUAGAAGUGGGUCUAAGAAGUGGCCAUUCGACAGCUAUGGCUUGCAUCACUACUAUGUAUGCUGGGCAAUUACAGACAGUGAGAAAAUUAUCCCGUGUGUGAGUAUACAGACCAUGUCUCAUGCAUCCAAUCUCCAUGUGAGUACAAUAUGAUUAUCCUCAUCUUAUAGAUAAGUAAAACUAAGUCUCAGAAUGACUAUACAAUCUGCCUGAUAUCUUACAGCUUGUAAGACAUGGAUCAGAAACUCUAUUGCCUGUA